UUUUGCAAACAAAGUUACCAUAGGAUUGUGCCUUAAUUUGCAUGUACGCCAUCACAUAUCUUGUUUGUAAUUUCACUCAGUUUGAGUUUUGACAAUCAACUUUCCAUUCAUUUUUUUCCAUUGCUUCAUUUUUUUACCGGUCAGGAAGAAUUGACAGAAUGAUACCAUUGUUUGCUAUGCUUGGAUACACUAGUGUUUAUGUUUUCCAUCUUAAUCCUCUCCAUUCCAUGUACUGCUGAAUAUUCAUUUUGUAGAUCGUAAUUGUCAAGCAUCACUUUCUUUGGUGACUCAUUCAAUACAUCGCAUCUUAUAAUGCAUCAUAUCUGAAAUAAAAAGAUAUGUAUUGCUUUAUCAUUCCAUCCCAUAUCUGCACAAAUGGUAGCCAGAAUUGGUUCAUUUGGACACAAGUUGUAUCAUUUACUACUCCUAAUUUGCCUUAUUUGCUAAUUUGCCUAUGUUCAGAUUAUCGAUGGAGAGACCGUCCCCGCUGAGAUUGUGGAGGGAUAUAAGAGGUACUGCAGAAUAGCUAGAUCCUGUCCGGCGACAACAAUAGUGUGCCACCUUUGCAUUUUUGAGGUGGAGCUUCACCCAAAUGGGAUUGUGUGCACCUCUGAUAUGAUUGCGCAUUACUGCAAGCAUCCUUCAGUAGCUGUUCGCUGUGGCAGGUUUGGCUGUACUGCGAAAGUUCCUCCAGGCCGCGACCUACGUGAGCACACCUACUUCUGCCACGACCUGCCUGCUGAUUGGUGGCUACCAUAGACCUGGUGGUACUAGGAAACAAAAUGUUGGUAGCACAAAAGAUAUGACUUGCUGUAUAAACUUGUAAAUCGUGUGGGUUUAUACGCUUAUGGUUCUCAAACUACAA